rfam:Candidatus Micrarchaeota archaeon CG1_02_47_40 cg1_0.2_scaffold_6_c, whole genome shotgun sequence.
GUCAGCGGUCAUAGGGGAGGGGAAACACCCAAACCCAUUUCGAACUUGGAAGUUAAGCCCUCCUACGAUGUUGCCUGUACUGCCCUAACGGGCGGGAACGCGCAUUGCUGCUGACA